UUCGCCGCACCCUUCUUGCAGCGGGAGCCGCUUCAAGCCCAGGGCCUUGAGAGAGCAGUGUAUUGUUGAGGCCCCCUGGGCACAUACGUAGGGCAGAAUCCAGUUGAGGUAGCUUCAUGAACCUGUAAGUUGCUGGCGGCGCGCGCGUGGAGAUCUCGUCUCCACGAGAUCAGCCUCAGGAGUAAGUUCCCUCCCUUGCUCCUCCUGCCACCUACCGGUCCGGCCGGCUGCCUCUUUCUUCCGUGUUUCCGCGGCCUCGGUGGAGGCGAGUUUCAGAUUCCAGCGGGAGAGCGCCCAGGGCUGCGAAGCAAUAGAGCAAAGAGCAGAAUCCUGUCCCCAAGGCUGGUGGCAAAUGACCAGCCCUAGGGAAGAAUCUAGGGAAGUCACACCAUUUUGUCUCUACUUGGAGCACUGGAACUUAUGCUACUCAGUUCUACCAAAGUGGAGAGAAAAGAGUACCCUGGCUGCCAGAGUUUCCCAUGAGAUCAUAUUGGGAUGGACUAAGUUGUUUAGGCUCUGCUGAAGAGAGCUGUCUUACCCAAAGCUGUACCCUCUUUCCAGGACAGCCAGCUUCCAGUGACUGGUAGUUAUAAGGAGCUUUUAAGUACAGGAAGUAAACAGAGCACAUCAAGAAGUCAAGACGUUUUAACUGCAUUUAUUUAGAAGUUUUAAGGGAUCACACCCGAGAAGUGAAAGAGGAUACCUGGUGAUCUUCAGAGGGACUCUUUUUGAUAGGCUGUCCAGUUGCUUAGAAGAGGAGAGAGGAUCUCCUCCAAACCAGAG